rnacentral:rRNA from 1 species
CGGAGGUACUCGAGUGGCGAACGGGUGAGUAACACGUGGGCAAUCUGCCCUGCACUUCGGGAUAAGCCUGGGAAACUGGGUCUAAUACCGGAUAGGACCACAAGACGCAUGUCUUGUGGUGGAAAGCUUUUGCGGUGUGGGAUGGGCCCGCGGCCUAUCAGCUUGUUGGUGGGGUGACGGCCUACCAAGGCGACGACGGGUAGCCGGCCUGAGAGGGUGUCCGGCCACACUGGGACUGAGAUACGGCCCAGACUCCUACGGGAGGCAGCAGUGGGGAAUAUUGCACAAUGGGCGCAAGCCUGAUGCAGCGACGCCGCGUGGGGGAUGACGGCCUUUCGGGUUGUAAACCUCUUUCACCAUCGACGAAGGUCCGGGUUUUCUCGGAUUGACGGUAGGUGGAGAAGAAGCACCGGCCAACUACGUGCCAGCAGCCGCGGUAAUACGUAGGGUGCGAGCGUUGUCCGGAAUUACUGGGCGUAAAGAGCUCGUAGGUGGUUUGUCGCGUUGUUCGUGAAAUCUCACGGCUUAACUGUGAGCGUGCGGGCGAUACGGGCAGACUAGAGUACUGCAGGGGAGACUGGAAUUCCUGGUGUAGCGGUGGAAUGCGCAGAUAUCAGGAGGAACACCGGUGGCGAAGGCGGGUCUCUGGGCAGUAACUGACGCUGAGGAGCGAAAGCGUGGGGAGCGAACAGGAUUAGAUACCCUGGUAGUCCACGCCGUAAACGGUGGGUACUAGGUGUGGGUUUCCUUCCUUGGGAUCCGUGCCGUAGCUAACGCAUUAAGUACCCCGCCUGGGGAGUACGGCCGCAAGGCUAAAACUCAAAGGAAUUGACGGGGGCCCGCACAAGCGGCGGAGCAUGUGGAUUAAUUCGAUGCAACGCGAAGAACCUUACCUGGGUUUGACAUGCACAGGACGCGUCUAGAGAUAGGCGUUCCCUUGUGGCCUGUGUGCAGGUGGUGCAUGGCUGUCGUCAGCUCGUGUCGUGAGAUGUUGGGUUAAGUCCCGCAACGAGCGCAACCCUUGUCUCAUGUUGCCAGCGGGUAAUGCCGGGGACUCGUGAGAGACUGCCGGGGUCAACUCGGAGGAAGGUGGGGAUGACGUCAAGUCAUCAUGCCCCUUAUGUCCAGGGCUUCACACAUGCUACAAUGGCCGGUACAAAGGGCUGCGAUGCCGUAAGGUUAAGCGAAUCCUUUUAAAGCCGGUCUCAGUUCGGAUUGGGGUCUGCAACUCGACCCCAUGAAGUCGGAGUCGCUAGUAAUCGCAGAUCAGCAACGCUGCGGUGAAUACGUUCCCGGGCCUUGUACACACCGCCCGUCACGUCAUGAAAGUCGGUAACACCCGAAGCC